UAUUCUUCUUCUUUCUCCUUCUCUAAUCAGCGUUGCAGACCCUUUUGGAUCCUCUCCAUUUUGCUGCGGCGAGAGCAGCCAUGCGCACUAACCGACAAAAAUAACAAUUUUAAACUCCGACCGGCAAGUGGUCGCUAAACCAGCAGCUCCCGCAGCAACCAGACGAGCCACCGAUCGACCCCAAUCGUCGGGGACCCCUCGUCUUCCUUCUUCCCCUUUCCCCAUCGUUCCUCUUUCUCCUCCUUCCUCUUCCCUCGCUGCUCAGAUUAGCGAUUCCGACGGAGGCAGCACGAGAACCAGCAGUUGUAGGCGGCCAAUUCGGUGCCUCCUCUCUGUCCUCUUUCCGGUGAGGACCACCGGUGAAAUCAGCAGGGCCACUAGUCGCCCGCUUCUCCGAGGAUGACAACAACAAUACCAACCAGCGAAACUCCAUUCGAACGAUAGCUCCGGCCAGCGACUCAGCAAACAAGCAACAUAAAAUAUGAUAAUAGAGUUCACUCAGAGCUCGAUAUUUUGGUUGGUUUAGGACGGAUCUCAACAGAUUCGUCCAGUGUACGGGUCGGUAAUUGGAUUAAGUAUGGAUCUUCAUUGUUGUUUUCUUUUACUGCAUAACUGGCUGAAUUUAGUUUCGGGAGUUUGAAGAGUUGCCUGGGAUGGGUCAUUGGGACAAGAUUUCUUUUGUUUUUAGCUAUAAUAUUUGUAUUUGCUAUUAUGGUUUUGUAAUAUUUUUUUUGUAACUCUAACUCUCUCCAUAUAUGAAAUAAUUUGGGGGAAUUGUGUAAGGGGGAGGGGGAUUCCAUGCUAAUUAUUUUAUUUAUAUACUUCAUUAUUUGUGAUUGCUAAA